AAAAUCCUUACUUUUCUUACUGUCGUUGCUUCGUAGUCACAUGCUUAUCCAGCCUUCCCCAGCCACUCAAUCUAGAAUUUCUAAGGCUCCUCCAAACACUAUGCAUACUCCUUCUCUGGUUGAAUUGUUUAUUGCUUGGCAGCUAUUUAUAUUAAUUCAUAGGUUAGUUUGUUUAUUUCGUUUCCCAUUAGACCAUAAAGUUCUAGAGGGUAGAGGUGUGUGGCUCUUCCGUCAGAAAACACUGCCUGGCACUUAGUAGGGCUCUCUGAUGUUUCCAGAAUAAAAGAAACCGUGCUUAUAUCUGGGAGGCCAUUUCUUCCUCCCCGUAGUACCUCUUAAGGGAAUGUUUCCUCUCCUGCUCUCUUGACCUUCACUGAUGGAAGCCAAGGGAGAAAGAACGGGAUGGUUGUUUCUAGACUUUUUCCAUAGCCAAACUCUCGGAAAUAGGAAAUGAAGUCAGGAGGGUGGAGGGAGCAGAAGGUGGCCAAGUUUUUAUGGGUCAGCCACUCUGCUGGAAAGACUUCUUUUCCUGUGACUCCAUGUGAGCAGGGCUGGAAGGGCUGUGGUCACAGAUGCUCUCUUGGUAAAGAUCCUUAGCACAUCCUCCCUUUAGGAUAACAUAACCCAAACUGGAAAAGAACAGGGAUGCACUCUGACUUAACCAAAUAUGGCGACUAAACCCUCAACUGUGUAAUGCACCACACAAUAGUUCUGGGGCAACGACGUCAACUACGGGUGAAUGCCAGCUGGGUUAGACGGUCUGCAGCUGGUAUUGUCCAGCAGCGGCUCCGUGCUUGGUGCUCAGCAAUGAUUCAUGGAAAUUAUGCUGCAAAAGGUGCUCUGUGCUUUAUUCUGGGAUAAACUGAGGAGCCGAGUCAUUCCAGAAGGAAUGCGUAUACAGUUUUCAGAUGAGUGCUCGAAGUUUCUUAGGUUAGAGUCACAUUUGAUUCAAACCAUCUGUUUAAUGUGAAGCCGAACCCAGCAUCUUUCCAGGACUCAUCAAUCUCGUUUCAUAAAUAAUUAUUAAAGGCUCUUGGAAUCCGGGAGCUGUGGUUACAGAAGUGGCACAGUCGUCCCUGCUUGUGACUGCUUAUGGUUUAGCGAAAGUAAAAUUGUGCUUGUGUAUAUAUAUAUUUUUCCCUUUAUGAAAUCAGUGUCCAUAGUUUGCUCAGUCUUUUUUGCCGGGGCCAUUAUAUUAAUCCAUCAUUGUUGAUGAGAUGGAUGUAUGAGAGCUCACUGACAGCAUCUCUGAGAUGUCCAUAUCAUUGCUGGGACAGGGAUGUCAACCUUCCAAUUGCCUCUGGAUACAGAAAACAAUUUAUAUAGUGUGCAGUGACCUACCCUGAUACUAGGAAAUUACGACGCUGGCAUAGCUGAUAGACUCAGCCUAUUUUCUUCUCUGAGAUCAAAUAUAGGUUUUUAGGGGGAUGGAAAGAUGGCUCAAGCAGUCCUGAGCACUCUCUGCUCUUCCAGAGCCCUCAGGUUCCAAUCCCAGCCCCCACCUGGUGAAUUACAGCAGCCUGUAACUCGUCCCAGGGCAUCUGAUGCCCUCUUCUGGCCUCUGUUUGUCAAUGCAUUUAACACAUAAAUACUCAAAACCACCCCUACCAAUAUAUAUAUACAAAAACAAAAUAGAUUUUUGGUAUGUUGUAAAGGCAGCUAUUCCAUGGCAUAAUAAGAUUUUUGUGUGGUUAAACAUAUUUUUUCUAGUUCUUUAUGAAUUAGUCAUAAAAUGACAUUACUUAUGUCAUAUUUUAACUUUGAAGGUAGGCGUUUAAGAGAUUGUAUUGAAAGGUCCAAACACCUUGGGGAUAAGAAUUUUCACUUCCCUGGGAAGCAAACCAAGCUCCUCAAAGGAAGCCACUGACAAUGGGCCGUUGAUCAGUGACAGCCCUGACUUAGGGAGGAUAAGUCUCCAGCUGAUUCCAUUUCUGGGACACCUGGCCAGAGGAGAUAACAAGGCCGCAGCCAAGCUGGUCUCUGAAACUCUUCAUGGUUUCACUAAAUAUAAUAGAACUAAUAUAGCAGCCAAUCAGACUUGUCCUAAUGGCACUGCUUUGACUCCUAUCAAUCACAUUAGAGGUUACCUUACCCUUCUGGAAAAUUCCCCUAGCCCUGCAUCAAAGGGGGCUUAUGAGCCCCUCAAGCCGUUGACAUUUGGAUGAAUGGUUGACCAUUCAUGCCAUGCUGUUUGCUGGCAGUUUCUGCAGAAUAAGCACCUUUGCAUGCCAUUUGAGUCUAGGGUCUCUCUUUAGCAAUUCUUGGACCCUAAUAGUAUAAAGGGGUACAUGAAGAGAAAUCAAAGUGGCUG
rnacentral:lncRNA from 1 species